CUAUAAAAAUAACCCUCUGCAGUCUCACUGGUACAGAGGCUGUGGGGAUGGGAGAAGGAAAGCUGGACUCUUGAGCCCUGUCCUGCCCUGUCCUGCUGCUGAAUGUCCUUGAGAGCCCACCCAUGGGGACAGAGACAGUGCUCAGCCUCUGGACAAGCCCAGAGCAGGCAGGGGGAAAGGGAAACUACUCUUUAUAAUCAGUCCUGGGAAAGUGGGUUCCUGCAACCAGCUUCAGGGAGAGGGGAGGAGCUCAGCAGGGGGAGGGAGGAGAGAAAGAGAGACAGCAGAUCUCAGCAGCUGAUGGGCCACACCCCCUCUGGCACCCCGA
rnacentral:lncRNA from 1 species